GGGCUUGGGGGUCUUAAAAAUGGUUCAGGUAGGGGAAUAAAGUGAAAAUGCCAUCUCUAUGGACCAUUCUCUGCUAUCUAUUUUUGACUCCUAAAUUCAUAUAUAGAAUGAAAUGAAUUCCCUGGCUCUUUCAAUUUCUGGGAAAGGCUCUUCAGGGUUGUAAGGAGGCCCCUCCUCCUAGAGAUUUGUUAGAGAGAUGGAUUUGGUAUACGAGGCGUAUUUAUGUUGUGUAUUUACUGUACCGCCUGCUGAUGGACAGAUAUGAUA
rnacentral:lncRNA from 1 species